rnacentral:rRNA from 1 species
AUUGAACGCUGGCGGCAGGCCUAACACAUGCAAGUCGAACGAGUGGCGGACGGGUGAGUAAUGUCUGGGAAACUGCCCGAUGGAGGGGGAUAACUACUGGAAACGGUAGCUAAUACCGCAUACCAUCGGAUGUGCCCCGAUGGGAUUAGCUAGUAGGUGGGGUAAAGGAUCACCUAGGCGACGAUCCCUAGCUGGUCUGAGAGGAUGAACAGCCACACUGGAACUGAGACACGGGCCAGACUCCUACGGGAGGCAGCAGGGGGGAAUAUUGCACAAGGGGCGAAAGCCUGAUGCAGCCAUGCCGCGUGUAUGAAGAAGGCCUUCGGGUUGUAAAGUACUUUCAGCGAGGAGGUGUUACUCGCAGAGGAAGCACCGGCUAACUCCGUGCCAGCAGCCGCGGUAAUAC